GGGGAUGUAGCUUAGUGGUAGAGCACUUGCCUGGCAUGCAUGAGACCUUGGGUUUGAACCCCAGCAUCACAC
rnacentral:tRNA from 1 species